GUCUACAGCCAUACCACCGUGAACACGCCCGAUCUCAUCUGAUCUUGGAAACUAAGCAGGGUCAGUCCUGGUUAGUACUUGGAUGGGAGAAGGUUCAGCCUGGUUCUUCAGUAU
rnacentral:rRNA from 1 species